rnacentral:rRNA from 1 species
CCAAUGUGAACGUUACCAAACUGUUGCCUCGGCGGGAUCUCUGCCCCGGGUGCGUCGCAGCCCCGGACCAAGGCGCCCGCCGGAGGACCAACCAAAACUCUUAUUGUAUACCCCCUCGCGGGUUUUUUUAUAAUCUGAGCCUUCUCGGCGCCUCUCGUAGGCGUUUCGAAAAUGAAUCAAAACUUUCAACAACGGAUCUCUUGGUUCUGGCAUCGAUGAAGAACGCAGCGAAAUGCGAUAAGUAAUGUGAAUUGCAGAAUUCAGUGAAUCAUCGAAUCUUUGAACGCACAUUGCGCCCGCCAGUAUUCUGGCGGGCAUGCCUGUCCGAGCGUCAUUUCAACCCUCGAACCCCUCCGGGGGGUCGGCGUUGGGGAUCGGCCCUGCCUUGGCGGUGGCCGUCUCCGAAAUACAGUGGCGGUCUCGCCGCAGCCUCUCCUGCGCAGUAGUUUGCACACUCGCAUCGGGAGCGCGGCGCGUCCACAGCCGUUAAACACCCAACUUCUGAAAUGUUGACCUCGGAUCAGGUAGGAAUACCCGCUGAACUUAAGCAUAUCAUAAGCCGGAGGAACUUUACCGAGUUUACAACUCCCAAACCCAAUGUGAACGUUACCAAACUGUUGCCUCGGCGGGAUCUCUGCCCCGGGUGCGUCGCAGCCCCGGACCAAGGCGCCCGCCGGAGGA